rnacentral:rRNA from 1 species
AGCAGCCGCGGUAAUUCCAGCUCCAAUAGCGUAUAUUAAAGUUGUUGCAGUUAAAAAGCUCGUAGUUGAAUUUCGGGGUCAGUAGGGUUGGUCGUGCCACUGGUAUGUACUGGCCUCACUGAUUCCUCUUCUUGUAGAACCGUAAUGCCAUUAAUUUGGUGUUGCGAGGAAAACAGGACUGUUACUUUGAAAAAAUUAGAGUGUUUAAAGCAGGCUAACGCUUGAAUACAUUAGCAUGGAAUAAUGAAAUAGGACGUUCGAUCCUAUUUUGUUGGUUUCUAGGAUUGACGUAAUGAUUAAUAGGGAUAGUUGGGGGCAUUAGUAUUCAAUUGUCAGAGGUGAAAUUCUUGGAUUUAUUGAAGACUAACUACUGCGAAAGCAUUUGCCAAGGAUGUUUUCAUUAAUCAAGAACGAAAGUUAGGGGAUCGAAGACGAUCAGAUACCGUCGUAGUCUUAACCAUAAACUAUGCCGACUAGGGAUCGGAUGGAUGUUAAUUUUUUAAUGACUCAUUCGGCGCCU